UGAGUCUAGAGGUGAAUACUAGUAUAUGAGCGGCUUCCCACGAAACCUUUUAUAUUGCGGGUUACUGCAUGUCUAGUGGUGGUACUUUCGUCGUAGCAUGUUCGCCUUGAGUGAGAGAGGUCGUGGGUUCGAACCCCGGCCGGGUCAAAACCAAAGACUUUAAAAUUCAUAUUUACAUGCUGCUUCCCAGCUAAUUAUAUAAGCACGCGGGAUUAAGGAUUAAGAGCAAAAGCUGGUCGGCUCGGAAUCAGAAAAAUGUGUCCGGGUAAGGUGAUAUAAUGUCUUCCUUCGGAAUGCUACCUUUUGAACUAGCAUGUUAAAAAAUCCGGCUCAGGGUGUCGGUCUAGUACAAAACAGGGUAAAUAAUUCAUAUCCACAUUAACAUGUUCUUGUACGAAUAUGCAUAUAUCAAUUUGCCGCUGGACCUCAAGAAUCCACC
rnacentral:lncRNA from 1 species